rnacentral:tRNA from 1 species
GGGCCUGUAGCUCAGGUGGUUAGAGCGUCCGCCUGAUAAGCGGGAGGUCGGUGGUUCGAGUCCACCCAGGCCCACCA